UACGGGGGGGCAAGCGUUGUUCGGAAUUACUGGGCGUAAAGGGCUCGUAGGCGGCCAACUCAGUCGGACGUGAAAUCCCUCGGCUUAACCGGGGAACUGCGUCCAAUACUGGAUGGCUUGAGUGUGGGAGAGGGAUGCGGAAUUCCAGGUGUAGCGGUGAAAUGCGUAGAUAUCUGGAGGAACACCGGUGGCGAAGGCGGCAUCCUGGACUACUACUGACGCUGAGGAGCGAAAGCCAGGGGAGCAAAGCGGG
rnacentral:rRNA from 1 species